rnacentral:rRNA from 1 species
CUAUACUGCAAGUCGAGCGAACUGAUUAGAAGCUUGCUCUCUAGUGACGUUAGCGGCGGACGGGUGAGUAACACGUGGGCAACGUGCCUGUAAGACUGGGAUAACUUCGGGAAACCGAAGCUAAUACCGGAUAGGAUCUUCUCCUUCAUGGGAGAUGAUUGAAAGAUGGUUUCGGCUAUCACUUACAGAUGGGCCCGCGGUGCAUUAUCUAGUUGGUGAGGUAACGGCUCACCAAGGCAACGAUGCAUAGCCGACCUGAGAGGGUGAUCGGACACACUGGGACUGAGACACGGCCCAGACUCCUACGGGAGGCAGCAGUAGGGAAUCUUCCGCAAUGGACGAAAGUCUGACGGAGCAUCGCCGCGUGAGUGAUGAGGGCUCUGCGCUCCC